UACGAAGGGGGCUAGCGUUGCUCGGAAUUACUGGGCGUAAAGCGCACGUAGGCGGUCUUUUAAGUCGGGGGUGAAAUCCUGGAGCUCAACUCCAGAACUGCCUUCGAUACUGGAAGACUCGAGUCCGGGAGAGGUGAGUGGAACUGCGAGUGUAGAGGUGAAAUUCGUAGAUAUUCGCAAGAACACCAGUGGCGAAGGCGGCUCACUGGCCCGGUACUGACGCUGAGGUGCGAAAGCUAGGGGAGCAAACAGG
rnacentral:rRNA from 1 species